rnacentral:rRNA from 1 species
UAGGGAAUCUUCGGCAAUGGACGAAAGUCUGACCGAGCAACGCCGCGUGAGUGAAGAAGGUUUUCGGAUCGUAAAACUCUGUUGUUAGAGAAGAACAAGGACGUUAGUAACUGAACGUCCCCUGACGGUAUCUAACCAGAAAGCCACGGCUAACUACGUGCCAGCAGCCGCGGUAAUACGUAGGUGGCAAGCGUUGUCCGGAUUUAUUGGGCGUAAAGCGUGCGCAGGCGGUUUCUUAAGUCUGAUGUGAAAGCCCCCGGCUCAACCGGGGAGGGUCAUUGGAAACUGGGAGACUUGAGUGCAGAAGAGGGGAGUGGAAUUCCAUGUGUAGCGGUGAAAUGCGUAGAUAUAUGGAGGAACACCAGUGGCGAAGGCGGCUCUCUGGUCUGUAACUGACGCUGAGGCUCGAAAGCGUGGGGAGCAAACAGG